UUGUCAUUCGAUUCCCAUUCCACAACGCUCGCCCAGUUUUCGCAGGGGAACAAAAACUCUCACCAAACUGCCAAAGCGCACACACGCAGAGAAUCCCAUUUCGCAAGGAUCUGAAAUCAAAGCCCUAAACUUGCUCGCUUCCCUGAGUGGAUCCGACUCUCUCCCUGGGCUCUUGAAGUCUGCGAUGACGCAGCGAAGAACGAAGCUCUCGUUCCUCCUUUUCGCUCUGUGCCACGCUCUCACCGCCGUUGCAGGGAAGAGCUACUACGAUAUUCUGCAAGUGACGCGUGGUGCGUCGGACGAGCAGAUCAAGAGGGCGUAUAGAAAGCUCGCGUUGAAGUACCAUCCUGACAAGAACCAGGGAAAUGAGGAGGCGAAUAAGCGAUUCGCCGAAAUUAGCAACGCGUACGAAGUGUUGUCCGAUAGCGAGAAGAGGAAUAUAUACGACAGGUAUGGGGAAGAGGGGCUGAAACAACAUGCAUCUAGUGGCGGAGGCAGAGGUGGCGGAAUGGGAAUGAACAUCCAAGACAUUUUUGGCCAUUUUUUUGGUGGGGGCCAAAUGGACGAGGAAGAGAGAGUUGUUAAAGGCGAUGAUGUGAUUGUUGAUUUGGAUGCAAGUUUGGAAGAUUUAUACAUGGGAGGAUCAUUGAAGGUUUGGAGGGAGAAAAACAUUUUAAAGCCAGCCCCAGGCAAGAGACGCUGUAAUUGUAGAGAUGAGGUAUAUCACAGGCAAAUUGGUCCAGGGAUGUUCCAACAGAUGACAGAGCAGGUCUGCGAACAAUGCCCAAAUGUCAAAUACGAACGGGAGGGAUAUUUCGUCACUGUUGAUAUUGAGAAAGGGAUGCAGGAUGGGCAAGAGGUUGUUUUCUAUGAAGAUGGCGAGCCUAUAAUAGAUGGAGAAGCUGGAGAUUUAAGGUUUCGUAUCUGCACAGCAUCCCAUGAUCGCUUCAGAAGAGAAGGCAAUGACUUGCACACAUCAGUCACCAUAACACUGGUUCAAGCCCUAGUUGGUUUUGAGAAGACAGUCAAACAUCUUGAUGACCAUUUGGUGGACAUCGGCACGAAGGGAAUUACUAAGCCCAAGGAAGUGAGAAAGUUAAAAGGGGAGGGGAUGCCGUUGCAUUUUAGCACAAAGAAAGGGGAUCUCUAUGUCACGUUUGAGGUUUUAUUCCCAACCUCUCUAACAGAGGACCAGAAGUUGAAGAUUGAGGCAGUUCUUGGUUAGGAUAUAGGUGAAAUGUUUUUGUUUGGGUUCGAAGAUGUAAUCAAUUGUAACAUGACGAGGGUAUUAUAGAAAAAUUCAGCGGACCCUGAGGGCAAUUUCUGACCUGCGUAGGUGCCUCAAGCUGUACCUACCACCACGGGUUACCCCGUGGAACGAGGAUGACUUGAUGUUUCUGGAGGAAGAUGAUGGUUUUCCAGUGCUUGAGAACCGGGUUGGAAUGACUGUGUGGUAGGAUUCAUAUAGGGUAAGCCAAGACCCCAUUUUGGAGGUAAAAUUUUUCAUUUUUCUUGGUCUAUUUGUACCAUAUCUGAAUCUUUCCUUUUAACUUACAUUUCUAUUGAAAAUUGAAAUACUGGCCAUUGGAAAACCUCUCUAAGGCUAGCACAUUGCUUACAAUGCAAAUAGUCUCUCUUACAAUUUGGGCGAAUAAAUCACCAAAAUCUAUACUAUCUUCUAAGGUAGAAAAAUAUUGAAGUCUCUGUAGCUGACAUUCUUGUUAGAUCUUCUUUGAAGGAUUUGAACCAUGAUCUCCAGUUGUUGUGCAGCUUACAAGUACUUGAGAAGAAAAGGCCCUUCAUAUUGCAUUUUUUCUUCCCAUUUCCCUCCCAAUGGUCCCCCAAAGAUUUGCUUGCGUUUACAAAAUCUAUAGUGCUAGCAUUGUUGGAAAGAUGCUCCAGGGGAUACAUUUGUAUUUCGAGGCAAAAUGUCGAAUUCAAGAUGCCGUUUAGAGGUGUGCUGGGAUUCUCUCCCCCUUUUAUUUCAACAAAUACACAGUGCAGAAAGCCAGUUAGCCAAAACCAAGUUGAGAUUGCCUUAUUCAGUUCUAAGGCACAUGAAGGACACGAGUUCAGGAAAUUGAAGCCAAUUCCAACUUCAGCAAUUUGUUACCGGGAGAAGUCACUACUGCUGGCCUGUAUGAUCCUAAGAUCAAC